GAGUUUCAGGUUUUAUAACUCCAAUCAAUUCUGAGUUCAUUUCUGUACGUGAUAUAAGGCAGAGAUUAGUGAAUAAGUUCUGAUAAAUUUAAUGACUUGUUCAAGGUAACAAAUAAUGUUUCUCACUUCAAAUGCACUGGAAACACCCGGACAUCUCUUCUGUGGUAACUUGAAAUUCCAUUGUUGAUUUCUAUUUUUUAAUGAAUAGAGACUUUUGGAAGCACAAAACAAAUCAGUGAGUGACUACUGACCCAACAUGUUUGUGAAAGAUGAAAUGUAAGCCUGCGAGGAAGAAAUAUGAGAAGCAAGCCAAUUCGAAAAAAUGAACCUUAAAAAUCCCAGAAAUUGGGGUCACCAGACAUCCGUGAAGCUGGGAAAAUCUGUCAAACAGAAGAAUAUCUAAGAUCCAAAAUGUACAGUGGAUACUGGAAAGUGAACGGAGAGAAGAGAAGCAGUGGAAGAGAUUUCCACUCAGACCCACGAGACACACCAAAUCACAGUGUCCAUCUGCUGAGCAUUGCCUUCUCUUACAGCAACGGGCUGUCGGAGGCCUCACCUUCCCUAAGGCGCUGGAUCUCACCCACUCCUGUCAGGAGUGUCCUCUCAAAACUGAUCUUCUUCAUAGCGUCACAUCAGGGUCCCUCUGAACACCAAGCCUUUAUCAGUGUCACACAAAAUAAAGUGAUACCUUCUAUUCAGGAAAUCUUUGCGCAAAUAUGUUUUUCUCUAGCCACUGCUCCCUUCUGUGUUCCCACCGUAACCAACCUUAGGUACUGAGGGUGCUUUAGACUGUGUCCCCCGA